rnacentral:rRNA from 1 species
UACAGAGGUCUCAAGCGUUGUUCGGAUUCAUUGGGCGUAAAGGGUGCGUAGGUGGUAGAGUAAGUCGGGUGUGAAAUCUCGGGGCUCAACCCCGAAACUGCACUCGAUACUGUUUUGCUAGAGGACUGGAGAGGAGAUUGGAAUUCAUGGUGUAGCAGUGAAAUGCGUAGAUAUCAUGAGGAAGACCAGUGGCGAAGGCGGAUCUCUGGACAGUUCCUGACACUGAGGCACGAAGGCCAGGGGAGCGAACGGG